UACGUAGGGUGCAAGCGUUACUCGGAAUUACUGGGCGUAAAGCGUGCGCAGGCGGUUUGGUAAGACGGGUGUGAAAUCCCAGGGCUUAACCUUGGAACUGCACUUCUAACUACCGGGCUAGAGUACGGCAGAGGGGGGUAGAAUUCCACGUGUAGCAGUGAAAUGCGUAGAGAUGUGGAGGAAUACCGAUGGCGAAGGCAGCCCCCUGGGAUGAUACUGACGCUCAUGCACGAAAGCGUGGGGAGCAAACAGG
rnacentral:rRNA from 1 species